ACGAAAUAUUCUAGCCUUAUCGGUGGAUCACUCGGCUCGUGGAUCGAUGAAGAACGCAGCCAACUGCGAUAAUUAGUGUGAACUGCAGAAACCUUGAACACAGAACUUUCGAAUGCACAUUGCGCCAUUGGAGUGACAUCCAUUGGCACGCCUGGUUCAGGGUCGUAA
rnacentral:rRNA from 1 species